UUGAUUAAACCGAUGAGAUCGAUAACCGAUUUCAUUUUAUUUCAUUAUCUUUGUCUAUAAACGCAAUUUCCCUUCCCUGUGGCCACGAUAAUAAUAUCAUGAACACAAUUUUAUAUUUGUAUUUGUUUAUUUCGCAUGACAUUAUAUGAGUAACACAUUUGUUCUUCUAGUUGUAUAGUAUAAAUACAAAAUAGUUUACGAUUAAUGAUAUGAACAUACGUAUAUAAGACGUGUAGGAGAAACAAUAACUGAUAUAGGGUAUAGGUUUAGAUAUUGUAAUUUUUUUGUUAAUUUUAUAUUG